GUGGCGAACGGGUGAGUAACACGUGGGUAAUCUGCCCUGUACUCUGGGAUAAGCCUGGGAAACUGGGUCUAAUACCGGAUAUGACCUUUCACCGCAUGGUGGGGGGUGGAAAGUUCCGGCGGUAUGGGAUGAACCCGCGGCCUAUCAGCUUGUUGGUGGGGUAAUGGCCUACCAAGGCGACGACGGGUAGCCGGCCUGAGAGGGUGACCGGCCACACUGGGACUGAGACACGGCCCAGACUCCUACGGGAGGCAGCAGUGGGGAAUAUUGCACAAUGGGCGCAAGCCUGAUGCAGCGACGCCGCGUGAGGGAUGACGGCCUUCGGGUUGUAAACCUCUUUUAGUAGGGAAGAAGCGAAAGUGACGGUACCUGCAGAAAAAGCACCGGCUAACUACGUGCCAGCAGCCGCGGUAAUACGUAGGGUGCAAGCGUUGUCCGGAAUUAUUGGGCGUAAAGAGCUCGUAGGCGGUUUGUCGCGUCUGCU
rnacentral:rRNA from 1 species